rnacentral:rRNA from 1 species
GUGCCAGCAGCCGCGGUAAUUCCAGCUCCAAUAGCGUAUAUUAAAGUUGUUGCAGUUAAAAAGCUCGUAGUUGGAUCUCGGGUCCGGGCUCGCGGUCCACCUCGCGGUGGUUACUGCCCGUCCCGACCUACCUACCGGUUUUCCCUUGGUGCUCUUAACUGAGUGUCUCGGGUGGCCGGAACGUUUACUUUGAAAAAAUUAGAGUGUUCAAAGCAGGCGCUUCGCCUGAAUAAUGUUGCAUGGAAUAAUGGAAUAGGACCUCGGUUCUAUUUUGUUGGUUUUCGGAACUUGAGGUAAUGAUUAAGAGGGACAGACGGGGGCAUUCGUAUGAUGGUGUUAGAGGUGAAAUUCUUGGAUCGCCGUCAGACGAACUACUGCGAAAGCAUUUGCCAAGAAUGUUUUCAUUAAUCAAGAACGAAAGUCAGAGGUUCGAA